CAAACUAAUGGACCAUAUUUCUACUCAAACAGAGGCAAAGACGUCUUCUUAAUGUUGCAGAAGUUUGGAGGCAUCAAGGUCAGUUUUAAUGCACAUAAUGACUAAUGCUUCCGCAUUGUAAUCUCUAAUUUGUUAUCGAGCUUCUAUGCUUCAACACAUCUAAAAUUUCAAAAGCUUUUCCGGGUCGAUACGGUUACUUGAGAAUCAUACCAAAGAUAGCCUUAGCAGUUCAUUCCAUACCAAACUUGAGCAACACAAAAGUUAAGUUAGGUGACUGUUCUUUGUAGGAAUGCAUCCUCCUCUUGCUAUGCAAACUGAGGAAAUCAAAGUGAUGGGAAAGCAUUGUACAACAGCUGUUGACUUCAGGAUAUUUCAUGGAUGAGUUAUACUCCUUGACUCCCAUGUAAAGUUAACUUAUUUUGCUCUCUGCAUUAGUAUGUUCCAAAUUAACCACACACAAUUUAAUUAGGUGACCGUUCUCUGUAGGAGUGUAUCAUCCGCUUGCUAUGCAAACCGAGGAAAUCAAAGUGGCAAAGCAAUUGAAUGCAUGUGUUGACUUCAGGAUAUCUCAAGGACGAGUUAGAAUCUAUGACGCUCAGGUAAAAUUAACUUAUUUUGCUCUUUGCAUCAGUAUGUUCCAAAUUAACUGCACAAAAUUUAAUUAGGUGAUUAUUUUCUGUAGGGAUGCAUCCUCUGCUUGCUACACAAACUGAGGAAACCAAAGCAGCAAAGCAUUGUACUGCAGAUGUCGACUUCGGAAUAUCUCAUGAACCAGUUAUACUCCUUGAUGCUCACGUAAAAUUAACUUAUUUUGCUCUCUGCAAUUGCAUAAUAGAACGGUUGAGCUAAACAUCUCGCUGCUGAUAUUUUCAAAUGUAUUGCAACUACUAUACAACCCAUCCAUCGUAAUUGGUAUGUUGAGACUGGAUCGUAGUAGUUGUUCUGCCUCAUCUAUCACUAUCUGCGGGCUUGCUUUGAUUAUGUUUCUCCCAACUUUCUGUAACUAAAAAGCAGCCUGUAAAUGUAGCUUGAAUAAAAAUGGUACCUUUCAGUUUUGUGCAAGUUCAAAGUAUUAGUAGUUUUAGUUUGUCCAAUUUUUGCAGGGAUAUUGUGUGAGGUCUGGUACAAACUUUUAAGACAAUCACUUAAUACAUUCAUGGGAUCACCAACUUUUGGCGUUUGUUGAUACUAGCUAGGUGGGGCCAUGAAGACACGAUUCAUGGGAUUACCAACUGCUGGUAUAGCUUAUUCUUUUCUGUUGCAGCUAUUCCGGAGAAGUUUAGAGCUUCUGCAACCUUUUGAAGACACGAUUUGUAGUUGCGGAGAUGAAACAAUCAAUCAGUUGCGAUGCAUUACAUAAUCUUUUUGCUUUGGACAUUGAUGGGUAUUAUUUUGCCACAAAGGACAGGAGCUGUGCCAUUUGACUCGAAGGAUAAAGCGUUCAUCACAAGGGGGUGGUCUUUAGGAUGUACACAAAAGAGGAAAUUUCCUUUUGUAUAGAACCAAAUUAUAUGAUUUAAUUGACCAUUCUCUUGUACACAAUGUUUAUCAUGUAUUAAGUACAUUUUAUUGUCAAAUAUGUUUACUUUUUUUUAGUGCACAAGUUCAUAACUCCUUGGACUUUCUAAUUGCAGGCUCAACUAUUUG
rnacentral:lncRNA from 1 species